UACGUAGGGGGCAAGCGUUGUCCGGAUUUAUUGGGCGUAAAGGGCGCGCAGGCGGCUAUCCAAGUCAGGCGUGAAAGCCCCGGGCUUAACCUGGGAACUGCGUCUGGGACUGGGUGGCUAGAGUUCGGGAGAGGAGAGUGGAAUUCCCAGUGUAGAGGUGAAAUUCGUAGAUAUUGGGAAGAACACCGGUGGCGAAGGCGGCUCUCUGGACCGAGACUGACGCUGAGGCGCGAAAGCGUGGGGAGCAAACAGG
rnacentral:rRNA from 1 species